GACGAACGCUGGCGGCGUGCCUAAUACAUGCAAGUCGAACGCUUCUUUCCUCCCGAGUGCUUGCACUCAAUUGGAAAGAGGAGUGGCGGACGGGUGAGUAACACGUGGGUAACCUACCCAUCAGAGGGGGAUAACACUUGGAAACAGGUGCUAAUACCGCAUAACAGUUUAUGCCGCAUGGCAUAAGAGUGAAAGGCGCUUUCGGGUGUCGCUGAUGGAUGGACCCGCGGUGCAUUAGCUAGUUGGUGAGGUAACGGCUCACCAAGGCCACGAUGCAUAGCCGACCUGAGAGGGUGAUCGGCCACACUGGGACUGAGACACGGCCCAGACUCCUACGGGAGGCAGCAGUAGGGAAUCUUCGGCAAUGGACGAAAGUCUGACCGAGCAACGCCGCGUGAGUGAAGAAGGUUUUCGGAUCGUAAAACUCUGUUGUUAGAGAAGAACAAGGACGUUAGUAACUGAACGUAUCCUGACGGUAUCUAACCAGAAAGCCACGGCUAACUACGUG
rnacentral:rRNA from 1 species